rnacentral:misc_RNA from 1 species
GAUGAAGAACGCAGCGAAAUGCGAUAAGUAAUGCGAAUUGCAGAAUUUCCGUGAAUCAUCGAAUCUUUGAACGCACAUUGCGCCCGGUAGUAUUCUGCCGGGCAUGCCUGUUCGAGCGUCAUUUCAACCAUCAAGCCCCAGCGCUUGUGUUGGGGGCCUGCGGCUGCCGCAGCCCCCUAAAAGCAGUGGCGGGCUCGCUAUCACACCGAGUGCAGUAGUUCAUCUUCUCUCCGGUCUUGUGAGGCGGGUUCCGGCCGUGAAACACCCCACUACAUUCAAGGUUGACCUCGGAUCAGGUAGGAAUACCCGCUGAACUUAAGCAUAUCAAUAAGCGGAGGA